UACGGAGGGAGCUAGCGUUGUUCGGAAUUACUGGGCGUAAAGCGCGCGUAGGCGGCUUUGUAAGUUAGAGGUGAAAGCCCGGGGCUCAACCCCGGAACUGCCUUUAAAACUGCAUCGCUUGAAUCCGGGAGAGGUGAGUGGAACUGCGAGUGUAGAGGUGAAAUUCGUAGAUAUUCGCAAGAACACCAGUGGCGAAGGCGGCUCACUGGCCCGGUACUGACGCUGAGGUGCGAAAGCGUGGGGAGCAAACGGG
rnacentral:rRNA from 1 species